rnacentral:rRNA from 1 species
ACAUUUUAUACAAUGGAGAGUUUGAACGCUAGCGACAGGCUUAACACAUGCAAGUCGAGGGGCAGCAUAAUGGAUAGCAAUAUCUAUGGUGGCGACCGGCGCACGGGUGCGUAACGCGUAUGCAACCUACCUUUAACAGGGGGAUAACACUGAGAAAUUGGUACUAAUACCCCAUAAUAUCAUAGAAGGCAUCUUUUAUGGUUGAAAAUUCCGAUGGUUAGAGAUGGGCAUGCGUUGUAUUAGCUAGUUGGUGGGGUAACGGCUCACCAAGGCGACGAUACAUAGGGGGACUGAGAGGUUAACCCCCCACACUGGUACUGAGACACGGACCAGACUCCUACGGGAGGCAGCAGUGAGGAAUAUUGGUCAAUGGACGCAAGUCUGAACCAGCCAUGCCGCGUGCAGGAUGACGGCUCUAUGAGUUGUAAACUGCUUUUGUACGAGGGUAAACGCAGAUACGUGUAUCUGUCUGAAAGUAUCGUACGAAUAAGGAUCGGCUAACUCCGUGCCAGCAGCCGCGGUAAUACGGAGGAUUCAAGCGUUAUCCGGAUUUAUUGGGUUUAAAGGGUGCGUAGGCGGUUUGAUAAGUUAGAGGUGAAAUUUCGGGGCUCAACCCUGAACGUGCCUCUAAUACUGUUGAGCUAGAGAGUAGUUGCGGUAGGCGGAAUGUAUGGUGUAGCGGUGAAAUGCUUAGAGAUCAUACAGAACACCGAUUGCGAAGGCAGCUUACCAAACUAUAUCUGACGUUGAGGCACGAAAGCGUGGGGAGCAAACAGGAUUAGAUACCCUGGUAGUCCACGCAGUAAACGAUGAUAACUCGUUGUCGGCGAUACACAGUCGGUGACUAAGCGAAAGCGAUAAGUUAUCCACCUGGGGAGUACGUUCGCAAGAAUGAAACUCAAAGGAAUUGACGGGGGCCCGCAC